rnacentral:rRNA from 1 species
UACGGGAGGCAGCAGUGGGGGAUAUUGCACAAUGGAGGAAACUCUGAUGCAGCAACGCCGCGUGAGGGAAGAAGGUCUUCGGAUUGUAAACCUCUGUUUUCGGUGAAGAAACAAAUGACGGUAGCCGAAGAGGAAGCCACGGCUAACUACGUGCCAGCAGCCGCGGUAAU